UUGACCGUGUACUCCCACAUGCUCUGCGGGUCGGCGAGGGUUUCCGCGCCGAAAUGGUCGCCGUCGGCCAGCGUGCCCAGACUGGUGUCGUUACCGUAAUGCCCGGCACCAAUUUUGUUCACUUUUCCAUGGGCGAUCAGGAAUGCCUGAUUGGAUUCAUGUCCGAACUCGACGAUGACGUCCCCGGCGGCGUAUUCGCGUUGUUCGAAACGGUCGGCCAGAGUGGUCAGGACAUCGAGGUCGUCGUAGCCGCGCAGGAUGGGCAGCUCGCCCAGUUCGGCGGGAAUUACCGCGACGUCGCUGCCGGUGUUGACGAAGGUCACGCGGCCGUCGCCGACGGCAUAGGUGAGGCGGCGGUUGACCCGGUAGGUGCCGCCGGAGACUUCGAUCCAGGGGAGCAUGCGGAGCAACCAGCGGGACGUGAUGCCCUGCAUCUGCGGAACGGACUUCUUCGUCGUCGCGAGAUUCCGCGCGGCGGUCGUCGCCAGGCUCUGCUGGCUGUUCCCG
rnacentral:antisense_RNA from 1 species